UACGGAGGGGGCUAGCGUUGUUCGGAAUUACUGGGCGUAAAGCGCGUGUAGGCGGCUUCGCAAGUCGGAUGUGAAAUCCCACGGCUCAACCGUGGAAGUGCAUUCGAAACUGCAAGGCUAGAGUCCUGGAGAGGAAGGUGGAAUGCUUGGUGUAGAGGUGAAAUUCGUAGAUAUCAAGCGGAACACCGGUGGCGAAGGCGGCCUUCUGGACAGUGACUGACGCUGAGACGCGAAAGCGUGGGGAGCAAACAGG
rnacentral:rRNA from 1 species